UCCUGGUAGUUCAGCUGGUAAAGAAUCUGCCUGCUGUGCAGGAGACCCGGGUUCAAUCCCUGGGUCAGGAA
rnacentral:tRNA from 1 species